rnacentral:rRNA from 1 species
UACAGAGGUCUCAAGCGUUGUUCGGAUUCAUUGGGCGUAAAGGGUGCGUAGGUGGCGCCGUAAGUCAGGUGUGAAAUCUCGGGGCUCAACCCCGAAACUGCACUUGAUACUGCGGUGCUCGAGUACUGGAGAGGAGAGUUGGCAAUUUACGGUGUAGCAGUAGAAAUGCGUAGAUAUCGUAAGGAAGACCAGUGGCGAAGGCCGAAUCUCUGGACAGUUACUGACACUGAGGCGACGAAGGCCAGGGGAGCAAACGGG